rnacentral:lncRNA from 1 species
CUUCGUUCUUUGUGCCUUUUAGUGUGCAGUGGGAUGGCUCUAAUCUGAGAGCUGCUACACUGGCUGCCAAUCCACAUGCAAAUACCUCAUCAAAUGACGACUUCCAUGUUCCGUCUAAGGGAGGUCCUUAAAGGUGUGAGGGAGGAAAAGUCUGAGAGAAAGGCUAAGUGCUGAAAGGGGUUUUUCUUCCUGCCCUCCUACAUCCAGGCCACCACAGGGUCUUGGGAGAGAGGAAGGGGUAAGGGGCUUUUCCUUGCUGCAUUCUUUGCAGCCUCUUUCACAGGUUCACAAAGCAGUGCCGUGUUGCUUGGAGAGAGCUUUGUUUCAAAAAAUGUGAUUUACAGUCACUAGUGGUGCCUACUGGUAAGAAAGGAAUGUGGGCUUUUCAAGGCUAUUGUGUUUUGUUUUGUUGUUUUAUCAAUUAUGGGGGGAGUCUUUCCUAAUUGAGCUAUCACUUUACAAUUUUUUUCAAUGAGAGAAACCAACAAUAUUUGGGUUUGCCAUCUUUUCUUUGGUAGGUACUCUUUAAGGUUCACACCCUAGUCUCUUUUAUUGGAAGGUGAUAAGCUGGUUGAUUAAAUAGAUUUUGGGUUGUUUAUUGAUUGAUUGAUUGAUUGAGGCAGAGUGUCAACUAUGUAACCUUGGCUGGAACUCACCUGUAGACGAGGCUGGCCUGGAACUUGCUAUGUUGAUCAGGCUAGCUAUAAACUCAGAGGUCUACCUGUCUCUGCCUCCCAACUGCUGUGAUUAAGGACAUAUACCACUACACCUAACCCUUUAGACUGGCUUUAUAGUACAUUUUGGUGUUUUUGAGAGAUAACAGGCAAGAGGGGAGAGUAUGGAAAUAACUGUCUUGUGUUAAGGGUUUGGCAGCAGGCCACCCGGCUGGACCUGACUGCAGGGACAGCAUCUCUGGUUGAAGGAGUUCCCUGAGUUUUAUGGCAGCUAGGCAAUCCUAGAUCCUCCUGCCUCAGCUCUGAGAAUUCAGACUUUCUCUUCCAUUUUCAUGGAGAAUCCUGUAAUUAGAGUUACUUUUACUGUGAAGUUUUCCUUUAUACCACAGUUUCUGCAGGGCAACAGAGUCAAGACCCCUAUGGCAUCCUGUAGCUGGACAUGGGGAAUCACAGAGAGUCUGGCAACAAUAGACAUUUCUAAAUGCUCAGUGAUCACAUGCUAACUCAGAAUCAAGUGUGCAAUGAAUCCAGAGUAUUUCUGACAGUUCUCAUCUAUGUUGCAAAACAUGACUUCACUACGGUCUUGGUUCUGAACACACAACAUGGUCACUUUCGUUAUGCGUAGUGUCAUGCUAUACCAAUACCAGCGAAUGUUUCCUGAAUGUUUCUCCUAUUUGAGAGUAUUGCCUAUUACACUCCAGUGCUUCUAUUGUCCAUACAAAGUCUUAUGCUCCUAUAGAAACAUAGUGGUUUAAUUAUAUAAAACAAAGCUUUCUGUACUUUCCUACUCAGCAUGUAAGUGUCAAAUUAGUAUGUAGUUUGAUUGCAGUUGGCUCAGAAAUAUGGUUUUUAAAUAUAUUAUUUGACUUGCUGACUCAAGUUUCAUUAAAAAAAAAAUCAUUAAGUGAAUUUUGGCUUGGGAUCAGGAUAGAAUUCCCAGCAAUUUCUGGAAUGGCCCUAAACAUACUUUUGCUAUUUUGUGCUACCUAUUUGAAAGGGCAUACUCAGCAUUGAUAGUUAUUACAUCAAAAUAUUGACUGCCUCUGAAAAAUGUUGAAGAUAUGUUUUACGUCCUGCAGUAUCAAGUUAUCUAGUUGAGGUUUUAAUUCUUUAUGUAAAAACAAGUAAUUUACCUCAUUAGUAUUUUAAUUUUCUUUAACCUCUAGUAAAUGAUACAAUGAUAUGUAUACCAAACAUUGUUCCAUAAUAAAUUACUUUAUGACUUA